rnacentral:tRNA from 1 species
GGGGCAGUAGCUCAGCUGGGAGAGCGCCUGCUUUGCAAGCAGGAGGUCGCCGGUUCGAUCCCGGUCUGCUCCA